UGGACGAUACCGCAGAUCUCCUUGGUCUUGGAGUGACACUGCAAUUGAUCAGUAAGUAAAUGUUUGUCGCUGCCAAGAACAUCCUCACCUUUGAGUAUUGUACAGGUGCCAAGACAGGAAAGAAGAGCAAUCCCGCAAACCUUGAGAAGUGGUUGUUUUCUGGAGGAUUAUUUGCUACGGACGAUGUCAAAUACACUGUGAAGUUUUCAGUGGACCCGGAUUUCGGACUGCCUGGAGCAUUUAGCAUCACGAAUAGUCAUCCAAGUGAAUUUUACCUUGUCUCUUUGACUGUCGAGAUGCCUGGAGGGGGGAAGAUCGUUGAGUUCCCUUGCUAUUCCUGGGUUUACAAUUCGAACCUCUACAAAACUGACCGUCUGUUCUUCAGUAACCAGGUAGGCUCUGCGUGGUAAAGAUCUCUGACUGUUGUAUCCUUACGAAUUCUUUCAGCUCUACCUGCCAAACGAGACACCGACGGGCCUGACAAAUGCUCGAAAGAGUGACUUGAAAGCCCUGCAAGGAGACGGAACGGGAAUUAGACAAGACUGGGAUCGGAUUUACGACUACGAUACUUACAACGAUCUGGGAAAUCCACUCCUCAACAUGAAAAGACCAACAUUGGGCGGAUCGACCGAUCUUCCUUAUCCCCGCAGGUGUCGCACCGGUCGAAUUAACAUCAACGGAGGUCUGAAUAAGAAAAAAAAGAAAGAAAGAAAGAAAGAAAGACACUAAUUAAUGAUGUUUGCUGUGCAACAGUUGAAACUCUCACGUUGACCCCGCUAAAUAAAUUCUACAUACCAAGCGACGAACGAUUUGGCUCCGUGAAGAACAGUGACUUCCUGGCCGACGGUCUCAAGGCACUGACUCACAGCGUCCUUCCAGCUCUGGAAAGCAUCAUCACGUUUGACCAGACGUUUGAUUCGCUCAAGGAGAUAAAGGACCUGUAUGACCAUGGAUUUGAUAUAUCCGAGCUUGUCACCUCACCAGUAAGGGGGAUGCAAACGCCACUCGAGUUCUUCAACGAGUUCACCGCAGACACCGGGAACACCAGCUACAUGAAGUACCCACUUCCGCAAAUCUUAAAAGGUAAUGCUCUUCAAAUGCAAACUCGAAAAACAAUGCAUCUAACAUCAGGCAACUACAGUGAAUGAGAAGGGAUGGAUGACGGACGAAGAAUUUGCAAGACAAAUGCUGUGUGGAGUGAAUCCUAUGAUGAUUCAAUGUCUAAAGGUAAGUUCAUGAUACUCACAGCCAUUAGCCAACUCUUGAGUUCAGGAAUUUCCACCCAUGAGCACUCUGGAUCCUGAAAAAUACGGACCAUCAAAGUCAGCUAUCACCGAGGAACACAUUGGCAGUCAGCUAGAAGGCUCAACCGUACAACAGGUUCGUUUUUUUCUUACGUACGAGUUCUAAGUUGACUCUCUAACCACGCAAAUGCAAAUGCAGGCAGUGAGUGACAAGAAACUGUUUAUUCUCAGUUAUCACGAUGAGUUCAUGCCUUACCUUGACAAGAUCAACUCCCAGAGAUCUUCUUACGCUUACGCAUCCCGAGUUCUCCUGUUUUUGAAGUCGGAUGGAACUCUCCGGCCUGUAGCCAUCGAGCUCAGCACACCGUAUUCUCAGAGAGUCUUCGUCCCACCGGCAGCUGGAACAACCGAUUGGCUCUGGGAGCUCGCGAAAGCACACGCCGCCACGAACGAUUCUGGAUAUCACCAGCUUGUCAGUCACUGGUAAGCCAAACAUUUAGAGAAGAAACAAACAAACAAACCUCUCGUAUCUGUUGUGAAGGCUAAGGACACAUGCUUGCAUCGAGCCGUUCAUCAUCGCGACCCACAGGCAGCUGAGCAAGCUUCAUCCUCUAAACCCGUUUCUGCAGCCACACUUCAAGCACACCAUGUCAAUCAACUCGCAAGCGCGGCAAAGCCUCAUCAAUGCAGCUGGAAUCAUCGAGCUAACUUUCACUCCAGGAAAAUACUGCAUGGAGAUGAGCGCCGUGGUUUACAAAGGCUGGAGAUUCGACGAGCAAGGCCUACCAGCAGAUCUCAUCAAAAGGUAACACAAACAAAACAAAACAAAUGCUGGCACUGACACCACUCAUUAAAACUCGGUUCCAGAGGGAUGGCUGUCCCAGACUCCACAGCAAAGCACGGACUCAAGCUUGCGAUCGAGGACUAUCCAUAUGCCGCAGAUGGUCUCGAAAUCUGGGACGCUCUGGAAAAAUGGACGUCCAGUUAUCUCGACGCUUGCUACAACGACGACGAAGCAGUAGCAAGCGAUGCAGAGCUCCAGGCCUGGUGGAACGAAGUAAUCAAGAAAGGCCAUGCAGACAAGAAGGACGAGCCAUGGUGGAUCAAGCUGGACAGCAAGAAAAACCUGGCUCUAGCGCUCACCACUAUAAUCUGGGUAGCGUCGGCCCAUCACGCAGCCGUGAACUUUGGCCAGUAUGCAUACGCUGGCUACAUGCCCAACCAUCCCACCGCCACUCACAAGGCAAUCCCGGCUGAGAACUCGGACGAACACAAGAAGCUGCUGGCAAACCCUGAGAAAUUCUUCCUCGAGUCGGUCUCGAGGAAGCUGGAAGCGAUCCUCGUCAUGCUCACGCUCGAGAUCCUAUCCACUCACGCGUCGGACGAGGAGUACCUGGGGCAGCGUGCCAUCGCGAACUGGACGGAUAAUCCCAAGGCCAAGGCCGCCUUCCAGAAUUUCACCGCCGCGAUGAAGAAUGUGGAGGGCAUCGUGGCGCGCCGCAACGCCGAUCCAUCGCUCAAGAACAGAUUGGGGCCCGUGCAUGUCGCAUACACGCUGCUCUCGCCGGCAUCGGAGAAAGGGAUCACUGGCAAAGGCGUGCCCAACAGCAUUUCCAUCUGAGCUAUGAACCCUAAAGAAGAGGAAAGGUCAAUAAUAAGAUUAUUCGGAUAUAGUGGAGCGUUUAACCGAAAUAUUGAGUAUAUAUUGUUUUAAAUAUAUUUAUAAUUAAUAAAUAUAUUAAUCUUAGAAUAAAAUAAUGUGUCAAAGUGAAUAAAUUCAAUCAAUUGUAGGUAAAUUGGCAAGAGUGAUUAUGAUUCUUUUAAGGUAGUUAAAUGCCUCAUCAUCUAAUUAGUGACAUGUAUGAAUAGAUUAAUUAGAUUCCUAAUGUCCCUAUUUACUAUCUAGUGAAACCACAACCAAGGGAAUGAACUUGGAAAAAUCAGUGGGAAAGAAGACCUUAUUGAGCUAAGAAUGGGAAUUUUUAUAUUUAACCUCUAAAAUACCAUUUCAACAUGCUUGAAAUUGGGAAAGAGUAUGGGGGCUAGUGACAAAGGGAAGGAUCAAUGGAAUGAGAGUUUAGUUAUGUGUAGUUUAAAUCCACACCAUUUACUCUAUGAAUGCAUGCUCCCAAUCCUUAGUGGUUGUGAAUUCUAGAUCUUAUCAAUGAUCCCCAACCUUGUCUUUCCUAUGUGAUUGUGCCUAUUAAUGUGAAGGACUUGAGUCAGUUGUGAAAUUGGCAUUUAUUUCUCAAAAAUAUAAAAAGCCCUUAAACAGUCUUGAAUCCCAUGAUGUGGUGAACUAAAGAGUGUACACUGUUUGGUAAUAGUGACACUAUUGCUGCCUAGAAGCCUUCUCCUUGAUGCUAUAUGGUUAAUCCCUUCCAAUUGGUGUUGUCAUCUUUGUCAACAGGGUUUUUAUGUUAUUGAAAUGUGUAUUGAACAAUAAAUUUAUAUGCCUUCAUCAUUAUUUGAGAUUAGUAAAGAAUGUUGAAGAUCAUUACAAAUACUUUUUCUUUACUAUCACUCUUAUUUAGCCUUUAUAAAACUAUAGUGUCUAGUUUCUAUAUGAUUGAAACCAGAAAAGAGCAUUAUUAUAUAUGGGUGGGGAGGUAAGUCAAUAUCCAUUAUAGCCCAAGUGGUUGAAGUUUUCAAUGGACUUAGGGAAAUACACAUUUUAUUGUUAGACAAGUGCUGCCAAAGCUGUAGUGGUGGUUUCAAUGUCCAUUCAUCUUCACUAGCCUCAUUUUCAUGCUAAAGAAGGGCUAUAAAGUUUGUUCCUUGGUAAUCUUUCCUUCAUCUCCUCUCUUUAUAAGUGUGUCAAGUUAGGAUGCUAAUGAGAUAAUCAAUUGAGACCAAACUUUUGAGAUUGUUGCUUGAGCUGAGGGGUUUUUGUUAUCGAACAUCCUAGCACAGCGAGCCUUUCAAAUCUCCACAAAAGUACAUCCUCUAAAGACAUCAAAUAACUUUUGGUACAGAUGCAUGAUGUGUGUGCUUAUUUAGUUGAGCUGAUCAAAGUGUGGAUUCUCACUAAGUCUCCAUUUCUAAGCAUCCAAGUGUUUUAUCUUUCCUUGGAUGAAGCAACCCAAAAUGUUGAUUUAUAGAUUAUAAUUGCACCAUCUUGAGAGGAUUGUUUGAGAAUUACCAUGAAGCCUUCCCACACAUCUUAUGCUACUGAACAUUCCAUAGGAUAUGGCAUUGUGUCUUCAUUGCUCCACAGUGUGCAAGUUGUGUCUAAGAGGUGGAUUGCCAAGAGUGAGAGGAGACACUCCUACUGGGUGGGCCACAUAAAGUAUUGGGUCUUGGUAGAUUAGUGACCUUUCUAGAUUUUAUUCACACAUUGUAAGUAGUUCUGGGAGUGAAUAUGUUGUACUCUCACUUGAUAAAUGUGGAUUGCACUGGGGUACAAGCUACUCCUCAUCUGAGUUUAGUCUUGUAUUAAAAGAAGCCUUUGCAUAUGUCCCUCAAUUGCCACUUUGCGAGAUCCCAUUUUAGUUUAUUUGAUAUCUAUUAGCGAAACUAGUAAAGUCGAGUGUAUUGUCUCUCUAAUACAGCUAGGUUUACAUUUGUUGUCUUUUCCUCCAUUUAAAUAAAUUCAAUAGUCAUUAGCUCUAUCUGGCUAGUGAAAUGAUGAAGAUAUCAACCAUACUCUUAAACUGACCUCUAAAAAGGAUAUGUAAAUAGUUAUGUUAGGGUCAUAAGUUGGGUACAUCCAAUGGCUUUAAACCAACUAGCACAAAGUGCCAUUUCACACUAUUUCUUAUAACAUUUUACUAACCAUCUAUUCUUAAGUUUGGAUGAUUGUGUCCCAUAUACAAUCAUUCAAGAUGGUGUCUACCAUGCCACUAGUAACUUUUGCAAUAAUGCAGCUACCACACUACUAACAACCUUUGUAGUCAGCAUAUCUACCCUUGUUAGGCACCAGCUUUGACCACAUAGUCAACAUCGGUCAAAAGGAGGCUCAAGGGUAUAUUAAAACAUGUUAAGGUAAAAAACUUAACCUACCCUAGGGCUCAUAAUGGAGUGGUAGCACAGUGGAGCUUUUGAGGUAGCUCAAAGGUGGUUGGGUGGUGAGGAACCUUAAGAGGAGGCAUAGUAUAAUCUAAGAAGGUUCUCUGUCUUUUUGCACUGAAUCAUAACAUUGGUAUUAAAGCCUAAUUCAAUUCUCAUGGUAACAAGUGGGGUAAGAAUAUUCUACAAGAAUAUUCAACAUGGUGGAUCUAGAGGAACGUAGUGGAUCUAGAGGGAGAACCAAAGUUUGGUAGACCUUAAGAGAAGGACCAUAGUGACUGGAUGGUGGCCUAAAUAUGAUCACGGACGAUCAUUCCCUAGUGAGGGAAGGAUUGUUAGGUAUUAGAUCAGGAUAAUAAGAUAAAAAAAGGGCCUCAUAAUCAAAUGAUUACCCCUUUAGCCAAUUAGCUUAGGGUGUAAGGGAUAAAAUCCUAACAAUCCCGCCAUGAGUAGCUUCAAAAGCUAAAAGGGCAAUUCCCCCAAUACCACUAUAACCUCAUGAGCAUCAGUGUAAUGCAUGUGAUUAUGAGAUGAGAUUUGGAUAUACUGUCAUCGUGGAUUCUUAGAACCUUGGGAGAUAAAUGGGGAUAAAAUAGCUACUAAGGGCUCUCUCAUCAAGCAAUUGCCCCUUUUUCCAAUUAAUUUAAGGGGAGAGAGAUAAGAUGCGCUACAAUCAAUCCUAAUAGACACAACUUCCCCACCACCACUAGUAUUAGUAAAUACCUCGCCACCAAUAAAUACAGCCUCAAUAACAGUAGCAUCAAGACUAACAUAAGCUUUUACCUUAGCAUCCACCUUAUUAUUAUGCUCUUUAUGGCCUUCUUCAGUAUGACUAGUAGCAACUUCAUUGGUUACUUAAGAUCAAUCUCCACUCAAUUAAGGUUGCUUUUUCCUAGAGACUAGAACUAUUGAGGCUCGCCUUGACACUUCCUCUAAAAUAAAAAAUAAAAAAUUAAAAUAUCUAACUUAUAAAGCAAAAUUUACUUAUGGCAUUAUAAGUUUAAGUCCCUUCUUGGUCAAACUUAAUUUAUAUAUGCUCUCACAAGAAAAGUUUGUAAAUAAAAAAGUGUAAAAUAGAUUGUAAACUACAAGAAAUGCAAAGAAAAAUAAUGAAAGUCACUGAGAAAAGUUGGUUUGCCAAUCUUAUUCUACCUCUCUAAAAUUCAGAAAACAAAAAUUCUUAAGACCGAGAAGGAAAAAAAAAAAACUACAAUAACAUAGAAGAGGUCAAUUUGGGCAAGAAUUGACAUCUUUCACCCUUCAUUUUUUACAAGAAAAUUGUUAUCAAAUUCUUAAAAUCAAGAAAAAAAUAUCAUAAUAUUUUUUAAGAUGAUGAUUUCACAAGAACUUAUGUUUUUGUCUCUCCCUAUUUUCUAAAUUAUAAAAACCUCACCCCUAGCAGUAAGAAAAAAAACCAAGACAGCUUGCCUCUAAGAAAAAUGAAGUUAGGGAAAUGUUAGUUCACAUGUGAAACCCCUUCAACAAGGAAAAAAAAAAUAAUGAGGUAAAUAUAGAUAAAAGAAUGAAAAAACAUAAAAAAUAGAAUGUUAGAAGAUGUUGUUUCACACAAAAAUCAAUAUCUCCAUCCCUCUUAUUGUUCAGAAAAAAAAAACCAAAAAUCAAGAAAAAAAACUUCUAAUAAAAGAAAAAAGAUGAGGAAAUAUUAAUUUAUGCACGAACCAACCUCUCCUUUGCCAAUCUCUCAUCUCACAAAAGAAAAUGAUCACAAGUUGUAAACUAUAAAUUACUAAUAAGUUGGGAGUAAUAGAUGAAAAGUAGUAGUUAAAGAGAUUGAGGAAAAGCCUAAAAUAUAUCUUGGAUUUUUAGUGUUUUGAAAAGUGUUUAGUAAUCUGAUUGAAAAGCAUCUUGAAGUGCAUUGUAUAAUUGAAAUGUUCUUUACUCAAACCUUAGCUGUAAAACUCUAAAAAUAAAUAAUCACGAUCAAUGGUCAUGAUUUUUAUUCUCUUGAAUGGCGAUUGUUUUCUAGAUUCUAGAGACUUUAAUUUUGCAAAUAGUAGGAUAUAUUUAUUGGACAAAUCCUUUAUAAAUAAAGAUUUAAUGUGUUCUUUACAAGGACAUGAUCAUUCAAUGCUUUAGAUAUUAAGAUAUUAUUCUAGUAUGAUGCUAGAAACUACAUUACUUUGAAUAGAAUGUUGUUUGCAACAAUGCAACACGUUGAGAAGAUAACUUCUUACUUGCCUAUAAUUUAAGUUAGUCCCUUAAUUUUGUUAUUAUUUUGUGAUUUUGAAGAUCAAAGUUGUAUUGCCAUCCAACUUAGAAUUCAAACCAGCAAAAAACUUUUAAGGAGAGUCUUACUAUAAAAGUACUUAUGGAAAGGGGGUUUGCUUGUGAGCUAAAUCCUAAAAGCACUCUUAGAAGUGUCAUCUAGAACCAUCUAUUUAGUGGUAUUCACAUCCAUUCACAAGUACCUACCACCCUUUGUUUCCAUAAAAAAAAGCCAAAGUUGUGCUUUUUUUUAAACAUUUUUUACUUCACUUUUAUUGCAAGUUUUACUUUCAACCAUAAAAAGCUUUUUAUGAUAAAAAAUCUUCAAUAUGAGAGUAAAGAUAUAAUAUUGCUUCGAUUGCUAAAAUGUCACCCCAAGCAUAAAUAACAGCAUGUUUCAACAUAUUAUAGAGAAGAUCAGUCAGAAGAGUAAUUAUCUCUAAGAAAUCCUUCAUAAAUCAUAAAAAAAAACUCCAAUCAUAUUAAAAAAAACUAUGGAGAUUAUGUAUUAUCAAAGGUAAAUGUUAGUCACUCAUAACUUGGAUUUUUUCAGGAUCAAGCCACACAUCAUACACUGAAAUCAAAUGUUUAAGAUAUCCAAUCUCUAAGAAAAACUUGUAUUUAAAUAACUUCAAAUAAAGUUUAUUAUCCAUAUAUAACUCUUUGCAUAUAUAUUUUAUGUUCCUCCAUUGUAGAGUUGAAUAUUAGGAUAUUAUCAUGCAAUCUUCCUUAAGUAAGUGUUGUGAAUGUGACUUUGGGUAUUGAAAGAUACUUGUCGACCAGUCUUUACGGGCACUCUUUCCUUAUUACCACGACGGCAAAAGGUCGGUAUUGCUGGUUCCCUUUAUUGGCCCCUCUUAUCCAAGUGUUAGUAAACUGGACUUAGCAUCUGUACUUAGCCGGAUGAGCAUAAGGACGGAAUUCCUAAGUGUCUAUUUGGCCAAACAUACUUGGCCCGGCUUUUGAAUUCUCUUUUGCUCUGUCUUGCACUGGCUUGGCAAGAACCCUCGCGUAUUGAGACUAGUCCCUUAAUAUCGCCAGAUGAUAGCUUACCAUGUCUGCCAAACACCUUCGCUAUCACACCCUUUGUGUUAGUCUCAUUUCGGUCCUAAGUGCUAUUUAUGGAAAGUGUCUAAAUUCACUCAUUUGGCAUGUCUACAGAAUGCAGAGGUCGGCCUGAACACAAUGGUGUUCAUCCCAUGUCCAAAUUCGCAAUCUAAGGCUAUUCCAUAUUUAGUAAGUUUCGAACUUGUCCCAGAGACUAACUCCUGGUACUAAGGGUGGCUUGGGGUGAAAGCCCAAAGCGUGUGUUCCUCGAGGGGGGGGGGGGGGGGGGGGGGGGCUAAUGGGGGGUUCCACAUGUAUAGUAGGGAUAGUGGUUGGAAUGCAUAUCCGACCACUUGAGACAUUAGUUUGGUUCCCGCUGGGCUAUGUCGCUCCUUGUUCUGCAUUCAGCUUUGGUCUAAGCCCAAGCUCCAUGCUGCUCUAGACGGUGGAGUACCCUCCUCCUCGUGUUAGGCCACCGGUAUGCCAAAAUUGUGCCAGACUCCGUCUGACACCAUUUUGCGUGCAGGUGUUAGAUACGAGGAGCUGGUGCUCGUGGGAUUGUACUGGACCCUCGUUCGUAGUGCAACGGGCUUGGAGUUCGGCUCCAAAUUCAGGUGCGUUACAUUUGGUAUCAAAGGAAUUGUCUUAGUGAUUCCUAUCCAACUUUUGUCGGAUUUUCUGACUCAAGUUGUAUACGCAGAGACUUUUCUAGUAGAUCCGAAGCGACUUGUGUAGGAUUAGUUGGAUAGCACCAUUCGGUAAGAAUGUUGUAUGCAUGUUCAAUUACUGAUAGAGGCAUGCAUGCAGCUAGCAGGAUGGUGAAGAGGAACCGUGUUGAUGAUGCUGAAACCUCUAGACGGGCUAAUCGAGAGGAGGAAACUCCUGCUAGAGAUGUUGUGGAAGAGGCUAAGGCUGAGUCAGAAGAGGAAGAGCCAGAUGUUGCGACGCUGCAGCGUACGGCUCAGGAAGUCGAGAUCGAGAAUUUGCGAAGGGAGAAUCGCAAAUUGAAGAAGGAGAACAAGAAGAGGAAGAAAGAAGUUGAGGCAGCUAAACCAGCUAAGCCUAAGCAACCGAACUCCUCCUCAAGUUCUGAGGACGAUGAAGUUCUGCAGCCACCCCCGGUUGCACGAGUUUCAAAGUUCAAGCCUCUGAAACCACCCAAUUUCAGAGGCAUGCAGGACUAUCAGGUUUUGGAAGACUGGGCCUACGAUAUGGAAAAUUAUUUCAUAGCGGCAGACGUAGAUGAUCAUACGAAAGUUGCGUGCGCGCAAUCCUUUCUUACCGAUCAUGCCAAAACUUGAUGGCACCAGGUGUGUGCUGAAAAAGGGCAGACUAGAAGUUGGACCAAGAUGAGGUCUCGUAUCCGUAAGGAAUACUUGCUAGAUGAUCUUGGUCUAAGACUUCGCGCGGAGCUGCGACGGUUAAAGCAGCAAGGGGACCUUAUGCAUUACGUUAAUGUGUUUGCUCAAAAGCGCAUUAUGAUUGCAAAUAUGAGUGACGAAGAUGCUUGGAGUUAUUUUCUGGAGGGUUUAAGUUCAUUUUCUCGCAAUGAGAUUUUGAAGUUUAAGCCGAAGACAUACCUGGAGUGUAAGGAGGCAGCGCAACAAGUUGCCUUUAGUCACUCGUUCAUGGAACAAUAUCAGCAACCGCAUGUUGGUAACUCAGAUAAGAAUAGGAAUUCUGGGAAUAAGCAAGGUGAUUAGAAACAAAGGGUGGAAAGUAGGUACCACCUUGGGGGCUCACAAGCUAUGGUUAAUAAAGGUGGUGGUGGUUGGAGACCACCAGCAGCUUCUUCUGGUCCUAGGCCCUCUGUUCCUCCUCUUGGUGGGUACAAGCAACAGCACUCUGCAAAACCUGCUCCUAGCGGAACAGGUAGUGUGGGUCAUUGCUUCCAUUGUGGAGAGUCGGGACAUAUGUCCUCAGAAUGUCCCAACAAGCAUAAGACAAGGUCUCGCGUUAAUGUCAUGAGGGAAGACAGUGGUGGUGAAGUUGAAGGGGUUGAUGAGUUGGUCAAUGCAGACUAUGAAGAAGAAGAGAUGAGUAACUUUCGUUGCUUUCCUCAAGCUUUUCUUGCAGUCAAUGCAAACACUGAUUUGUUGAUGUAUUUGGUAGGCUUUGUUCAUGGACACCGAAUCCGAGUGAUGAUUGACAUGGGAGCUACGCCCAGCGUGAUAUCCGAAGACUUAGUUAAGUUGUUAGGAUUGAAUGCUGAGCAAAUAUCACCUAUGCACUUCCAGUUUGCAGAAGGUGGGCAAGUAGCCAGAAAGUUUGUGAGUGAUGUUCCAAUAAAGAUAUCUAAGUGGAAAGAAAGAGUGGACUUGAUAGUGUUGAAGAUACCAGAUUUUUAGAUGGUGUUUGGUAUAGAUUUCUUCAAGAAGUAUAUAAAAGGGAUUUAUCGUGCUGGACAAAGUCGUAUCACAUUGAAGUCAGAAGGACAUCCUGAUGUAUCCUUUUAGUUGCAAAAGCGUUCCUCAAAGGAUUGGGAUGCAAAGUUCCUGACUACGAGGGCCGCUCAAAAAGCAGCUAAGAGGGGAUGUCAGACCUUUUGGGUUCAAGUGAUGGAAGCUGAGGGUGUUGGUGACUCAGUUCGAAUCGGCGAUGGGGUUGAUCCUAUACCAAAGAGGAUAUUGGAGUUAUUGGCGAGGAAUUAUGAUAUCUUUCCGAAGGAUUUGCCGCCAGAGCUACCUCCUAGCCAUGAGGUUGAUCAUCGGAUUGAGGUUAUUCCGGGUUUUAAACCACCUACGAAAGCUCUAUAUCGGUUGAACAUUAAGGAGAUGGCUGAACUCAAGAAGCAACUCAUGGAGCUUCUUGACAAAGGUCAUAUCCAACCAAGCAAAUCACCUUAUGGAGCGCCGGUCCUUUUUAUUAUGAAAAAAGAUGGAACCAUGAGGAUGUGUAUUGACUAUCGGGCACUCAACAAGAUCACGGUUAAAAAUAGUUAUAUUUUCCCUCGCAUUGAUGACCUGUUUGACCAACUCUUAAAGGCUAAGUAUUUUACGCGACUUGAUUUGCGGUCCGGGUAUCAUCAGAUACGGGUGGCGGAUCAGGAUGUGGAGAAGACAGCCUUUAAGACUUGGUACGGAUCUUAUGAGUUCCUUGUCAUGCCGUUCGGGUUAUGCAAUGCUCUGGCAACGUUCAGCAUUAUGAUGGAUAGAAUAUUCAGAGAUUAUUUGGAUGCAUUUGUUGUCCUGUAUAUCGACGAUGUUCUAGUCUUUAGUGAAACGUUGGAGGAUCAUUUGAAACACUUGGAGCUGGUGUUUCAAAAGUUGCGCGAACACAAACUAUAUGCUAAGGAAAGUAAAUGCGGUUUUGGACAAUUGCGCAUAAACUUUCUCAGACAUAUAGUUGGUGGUGGCGUGAUUGAGGUCGAUCCAAAGAAGGUGGAAGCAAUGAAGUCCUGGGAAGUUUCGACCACUGUAUCAGAUGUUCGAUCUUUUCUCGGUUUGGCGGGAUACUAUCGCAAGUUUGUCCGCAAUUUUGCAAGGAUUGCUCUUCCGUUGACUGAGUUGACGAAGAGUAGUAUUCCAUUUCAUUAGACACCAGCUUGCUAGCGUGCUUUUGCACGGUUGAAGGAAAUCUUGACUACGGUUCCUGUUCUCAGGAUCCCAGAUCUUGAUAAACCCUUCAAAGUGCAUUGUGAUGCAUCUGGUUAUGCUAUUGGUGCCGUGUUACAGCAAGAUUGUGACAAAGCGGUUGGUGUUACGCUAAGGUGACAUUGUUGUCCUGUUGCGUUCUAUUCCAAGAAAUUGGAUGAGACCCAACGAAGAUGGCCAACGCAUAAGAAAAAGAUGUUUGCUAUAGUGUCGGCCCUGGAACAUUGGAGACACUACUUGGGUGGACAUACCAAGGUUUAUAUAGAUAGUAACACACUAAGCUACUUUGCUACGCAGCCUAAGCUUACGCCGAAGCAAGCUCGUUGGCAAGAGAAGCUUGCUAGAUAUGAUAUUGAAAUCAUAUAUAAACCUGGUAAAGACAAUAUUGUUUCGGAUGCGUUGAGUCGUCAGGCUCAAUUCCGGGCAAUAUCGGCAAUCAGUUCGGACUGGUUGGUGGACGUUUGGGCUUCGUAUGGAAGUGAUCCAUUGGCGAAGGCAAUCUUAUGCCGUGCGGGGUUGUUGAAGCAGAGCCCUAGUAGCGAAGCAGCGAAAGUUGCUAGUCGCACUAAUGCGAAACUUCACUUCUCAGUUCGAGAUGGGCUUAUAUUCUAUAAGCAAGAAAGAUUGUAUCUUCCCUCUAAGAAUCUACAACAGUUGUUUCUGCGGGAACAUCAUGAUGUUCCGACAGCCGGAUAUGGUGAGAAGUGAAAGACUCUGGCUUCAUUGAAAAAGGGAUUUUUCUGGUCUGGUAUGGAAGGUGAUGUAGUGGACUAUGUUCAUUCUUGCCCUAUAUGCCAGCAAUGUAAGCGCAGAACUGAGAAGCAGGCUGGGAAGUUGCAGUGCAUUCCAGCACCGGCAUGGCCAUUUCAAAGUGUGACACUUGAUUUUGUCACUUGUUUGCCGAAGUCUAAGGGUUAUGAUACUUUGAUGGUGGUUGUGGAUCGGUUGUCGAAGAUUGCACACUUCAUUCCAACUGUGGGCAUAGUAAAUGCGAAACAAGCAGCAAAGCUCUUUUUUAUGAAGUAGUGCGGGUUCGUGGUCUUCCUGAAGAGAUGAUCUCGGAUAGAGAUUCGAGAUUUACGGGGAAGUUUUGAGGCACACUAUUCCAGUUGUUCGGUACCAAGUUGAAGUUUAGUAUGGCUUAUCAUCCUCAAACUGAUGGGCAGACCAAACGCGUGAAUGCUCAAGUUGAGGAUUAUCUGCGGUACUAUGUCACAGCGGACCAACGUGACUGGGUUGAGCAUUUGGAUACAACAGAAAUCUGUUAUAACAACACAUUUCACAGCGCUAUCGGUUGUUCUCUAUGGGAGAUGCUGCAAGGAAAUGCUCGUAGGGUUCCUCAACAGAUCGUUAUACUGAAACCAAUGACCAAAGUGUUGGUCCCAGCCGUUGAAACUUAUGCGGAGCAGCUACGCCAAAGUUGGUCUAGAGCUACUGAGGCGAUGGGCAAAGCUCAGGAUAGGUAUCGACGUGAUAAGGAUUAGUAUUGUCGGGAUGUAUCCUAUCAAGUGGGAGAUCAGGUGUGGCUAUCUUUCCGAAACUUGAACAUUAAGGGUCUUUUGUCUCGGAAACUCUUGCCGAGAUAUGUUGGACCCUAUCGGGUGUUAAAACGUCUUGGUGAUGUAUCCUAUCGGUUGGAUCUGCCUACGGAGAUGUCCAAUGUUCAUAAUGUAUUUCAUGCCAAUUUACUGGCUCCUUACGCUAUGGAUGUUGCACGUCAACAAGAGAUUCGUCCACCGCCAGAUGUUGUGGAUGGUGAACUUGAAUAUGAAGUAGAAGCUAUUUUGGAUUCACGCUGGCUUAAACGUGCCAAACGUCGGGAGUAUCUAGUUAACUGGAAAGGUUACCCAACUUGUGAAUCAACUUGGGAGCCCCUUAGUAAUCUUACCCAUGCUCGUGAGCUUGUCACGGAGUAUGAGAAUAGUAAUAAAAAUAACAAUUAGCUUUUACAAACCUUGUAAUAAAUCUUGCAAAUUAAUAAAGAAAUAUAUAUUUUUAUCAAUCAAAGUGUCAUUUCUCUCGUUCGUUAGUAGUUUGGCAAGCUGACUUCGGCACUUCGGUGCAUGGGUUCAUUCCAUAACCAUAGGGUUAAUUAUUAUAGACUGAUCACAAGUCCCUGCCUCUCUCUCGAUGACUCAUUUUCAAAAAGGGGCAUGGUCGUGUAAACAACUUGAUCUGCCAGUUUAUAGUAGUUGUCUAAAUCUUCCCGAUGGGGUUGAUUUCUUACUCAAGGGAAGUUGGGCCUCUGGCCUUCUCCCUAUAUCCCUACGGGCAGGGAUGUAUCAUUCCUUUGUAAGCCGAAUGGUACUCGGAGCAGCAAGGGUGGCUAACUCUUUUAGUUAUUUCCUUGUCAGUGAUGGCCAGAGGGUGUCUAAGUCUUAACGUCUUUGGACAUAGAGGAGAAGUCGUUCCAUAACUCAUUUAAGUCGGUGUGUUUCCCACAUAGUGUGCUUUCCGUUAAUUUUCGGAGUUGUUUCCUUGACGGUUUGCUAGACUUGGGUAUGCAUUGACGAGGACGUCGAUCUUCCCCAAGGGGGGGAGAGUGUCGCAAAUGUGACUUCGGGUAUCGAAAGAUACUUGUCGACCAGUCCUUACGGGCACUCUUUCCUUACUGCCACGACAGCAGGAGGUCGGUACUGCUGGUUCCCUUUAUUGGCCCCUCUUGUCCAAGUGUUAGUAAACUGGACUUAGCAUCUAUACUUGGCCGGAUGAGUAUAAGGACGGAAUUCUUAAGUGUCUAUUUGGCCAAACAUACUUGGCCCGGCUUUUGAAUUCUCUUUUGCUCUGUCUUGCACUGGCUUGGCAAGAACCCUCGCGUAUUGAGACUAGUCCCUCAAUAUCACCGAAUGAUAGCUUACCAUGUCUGCCAAACACCCUCGCUAUCACACCCUUUGUGUUAGUCUCAUUUCGGUCUCAAGUGCUAUUUAUGGAAAGUGUCUAGAUUCGCUCAUUUGGCAUGUCUACAGAAUGUAGAGGUCGGCCUGAACACAAUGGUGUUUGUCCCGUGUCCAAAUUCACAAUCUAAGGCCAUUCCAUAUUUAAUAAGUUUUGAACUUGUCCCAAAGACUAACUCCUGGUACUAAGGGUGGCUUGGGGUGAAAGCCCAAAGCGUGUGUUCCUCAAGGGGGGGGGGCUGUGGGGGGUUCCAAAUGUAUAGUAGGGAUAGUGGUUGGAAUGCAUGUCUGACCAUCUGAGACAUUAGUUUGGCUCCUGUUGGGCUAUGUCACUCCUUGUUCUGCGUCCGACUUGGGUCUAAGCCCAAGCUCCACGCUGCUCUAGUCAGUGGAGUACCCUCCUCCUCGCGUUAGGCCACCAGUAUGCCAAAAUUAUGCCAAACUUCGUCUGAUACCAUUUUGCAUGCAGGUGUUGGAUAUGGGGAGCUGGUGCUCGUGGGAUUGUACCGGACCCUCGUUCGUAGCACAACGGGCUUGGAGUUCAGCUCCAAAUUCAUGUGCGCUACAGUAAGGUUAUAAAACUUAAUUUGUCAACCUUUAAAAAGUUGUAAAAGCAUUUAUCAAACCAAAUGGCAUCACUAAAAGCUUAUAUUAACCCACUUUCACCAUUUGCAAAACAUUCUCUAACUUAAAAUAAAUAUGACAAUGCCCUUGCCUCAACUUUAUAAAAUACUGAGUAUUACAAAGACAAUUACGUAAAUUAUCGAUAUGAGGGACUGAUAAUAUAUUCUUCACAAUUUUAUUGUUUAAUCCUUUAUAUUUAUGAAGAGAUCUUAUAUAUCAUCUUUUUAAUUAAUUAUCACUAUUGGAGCAACCCAAGGAGACUUAUUUAUCCAUAACUACCUUUUUUAAAGGUAUUUAGUAAAUUAUCUAUUGAUUUCCUCAUCUUUAGUGGAACUAGUAUGAGUCAAUAGUUGAUUGUAGCUCCAGGAAUUAAAUCAAUCUCAAAAUCCCAUAUUCUAGAAGUAAACUAUCAAGCAACUCAUCUAAAAUAUAUCACAAAACUCCUCUUGAAUAUAAUUCAUAUGAGCUUUAUGUCUACAAAUGCAUUCCAAAUAAGGUGUUUGUAAGAUUAAUGUAAAGAUCACAAAACUUACAAGCAUACUAUCUAAAGAAAGUCCCCUAUCCAAUCUCUAGGAAUUAGUUCACAAGAGUAACUUUUUCAAAAUUCUUUAAAAAUGAAGCACAUAAAGCCUUUAUCAAAUUACUUAAUUUUAGAUUAACUUUGAUGAGUCAUAAAAAAAUUAAUUUUCAUAUUAUCUUUAUAAAGGUUAUAAGAUUACCAACUUUUCUACAACUUCAACUAGCAAUCAGCCUUUUUAUUGCCAUAAUCAUUUGAUGAUGACUAUCAUUUCAAGAUACCAUAAUCCUUGAUUUACGAUACUAUAAUCCAAUAGUAAUUACAGACAUGAAAUUGAUUCAAACUUUGAAAUUUUAUAUGAAGCAAGAAAAUUUUUAAUGAGAUUGAUGGAAUCUUUCACCUCCUUAAUAUCAUUAUGAAUCUUAGUAAUGUAGUGUCCUUUCCUCAUGACAACAUCAUUAAAGCUAAGUUAUAUAUGUGGUGUCCCUAAUCAAGAUCUUAGAAUUUUUAUUAGAUCUUACCAUUAUUUGAAUAGGGUGCAAUAUGAAUUAAAGGAUGAGAUAAUGACCUUGAUGAAUGAAGAAAAGUUACACUCCUCUAUAGCUUUGAUUAGUUUUGUUAUUUCUUCUCCUAUCAAUAAUACACUUAUUUGAAUAUGGCAAUUCAACAAUGUGUUUAAUGGAUUUUUAAGUCAGGAAAUUCCACUCAAGGUUAGUUUAUUGGAGAUAUGUACAUCAAAGAAUGGAAUUUGCAUUGGUGGUAUUUAUUCUACACUUCUUUGAAAGUUGUUGAUCCAAGUCAUUAGAAAAACUAUUUUCAAGUUUUUGUGUCCACAAUCGAUUUCUUUUAUGAUUUAUUAAAUGAUAAUCUCAAUACAAAUCCUCUAUGAAGUUUUUGUAAUAUUCUAUAACUUUAUGGCAAAAUAAGUGGCCAUCUCUUUGUAGCAAUUAGCUACAAUAGAGAAGUUUGGAUAUCACUACUCAACUUGAAUCAAGAUAUUAAAGAAAUUUUUAAAAGCAAUUGUAAAGAAGUAUAUUAUGUGGGAAAAAGGAAAGAGAUUUAAGAUUGCAUAAUUUCCUAAAUUAUAUUGGAGUUAUCAAUUGCACACACACCUAAAUAGAGCUUCCAGGUGAGGAGAUUACAAAUAACAAUUCAACAUACAAGUAUAAGUUAUCGUUGAUAAUGAAUCUUAUUUUCUAAACUUGAGAGCUAGAUAUCUAGGAUUUGCAAGUGAUUAGAGGGUUUAAGCCACAAAUAACUUCAAGUCAUAGGUUACUCUUGGUGAAAGACUAAAUGAUCCUAUUUACUAUACAAGAUUUGGAAAUUAUCCCUAAGUAUUUAAUAGUAGACUUUGAGAAGGCUUAUGACCGAGAGGAUUAGCAUCCCAUAAGUAUGAUCAAACAGAUAGCACUAUUGUAUAAAAGAGCAACCAGCCGAGUCAUGAUUAAUAGGGAGACAGGACCUUCUUUUCAACUAGGCCACUUGGUAAGGUAAUGAUGCCCCCUGACUCUAUACUUGUUCUUAAUUGUAGCUCCCAAAGACAGAAGUGGUGGCAUGAGAAUUGGAUGGAGCUUUUGUUGAUGACAUGGCACUCUUCCUAUAAGCCACUAUAGAGAACCUGGAUAGAGCAAAGGAAUGACUAAAAACUUUUAACUUGGCUGUCAGAGUGGCAAUCAACUAGAACAAGUCAGUCAGGAUAAACUAGGGAAACCUUGGGUUCAAAUCCUGUGGACAGGCAAUUGACUUCCAGUGGCUGAAACCUUGAGAGGAUAUGAGAUACUUGAGGAUCCAGGGGUUAAGUAAAACAUAACAUUGUAAGAUGGCAUCUUGUGGACACUGGUCUAGAAAUGGGCUCCUAGGAAGCUUGGCCUCUCAACUAGGACUGUGGUGGCAAAGUCUGUCAUCUUGCCAAACAUAUGGUACCAUAUCUCAAUCUGGCUGCAAUCUGGUAUAUACUUACGUUUGGCAGGGUGCACUGAUGAUAGGGAGGAUGAUGGGCAAGGAAUUCCAUCCAUGAGUGUUGGGAGGACUCAAUUUCAUUGACCCCAGUGAUAUGGCCAAGGCUCUAAGGUACAAGAUCAUUCUCAUGGGACUCCAACCAAGUAGACAGCCAUUUAUCCAUGGCACAACAUGACUUGCCCAUGGGCCAAAGACCCGUGUUGGUUGUUUGCUGAAGGCCCAAUAUAGGUUGUGAAAGGGGUCCUCUUAUCCAGGGACUCCACAGGUUAUGGAACUCUUUUCCCCUAGGAUAGAUUAGACUAAGCUGCAUUGAGGAUUGGCUCAACCAGCCACUUUUUUUCAAUGCGCUCUUUAGGGAAGGGGAUCAGACAUUAGGCGGGGAGGACCACUACACCAUCUGGAGAGAAUUUCAUGUCGGGGGGUAGCAGCUGGUGGACAUAGUAGACAGGGAUAUGUUCAAAACAGCAAUCCAAAGUUUUGGAAUGGGGAAAUGAUGGAAAGUGGAUUAGAACUUGUUACAACUCCUCUAGGCUGUCAACAAUGCCAAAGGAGGAAGAAAAUGGCUAUGACAAUGCGCACAAACUGGAGACUUCAUAGCGAUCUAAUAAGAAGCACAACUAAAAGGUGAGGAAUGCAAGUUAGAAUCAAGGGCAUUUACUGCACUGAUGCUGGCAUGGACAGAGGUGGACAUUGAGGUAUGGUUCAUUACCUCCCCAGAGAAAAACGAUGGCCAUCCCUUUUCGAUUGUGUGGGGAGACAUGCUGGUGAUGGCUGGAGAGGUGUAGCACAUGCCCACAGUCAUGAAUAAUGAAGUAANNNNNNNNNNNNNNNNNNNNNNNNNNNNNNNNNNNNNNNNNNNNNNNNNNNNNNNNNNNNNNNNNNNNNNNNNNNNNNNNNNNNNNNNNNNNNNNNNNNNAGCAAUCAACCAGGAUAAUAGAUGUAGUCGAGUCAGAGGGAGAAGGAUGAUGGAGGAUCUUGACUGGGACCCAGCUGCUUGGAGGAGAGGCAACAAUGGUUUUUCUCAUAUGAUGUUAAGGAGUCUUGUAACAGACUCCACAUGAGGGUGAAAGGGAUGAAAUCCCUGGAGAAAGUGGAUUGACGAAUGCAUGGAAGCGGAACAUGUCAUAGACAACAUGGUAACUUUCUGGAAGCUCCCAAUUUAGGAGAAGGUGAAGAUCACCUCAUGGCUGGUGGCCAAUAAUAGCCUUCCAGUAGAACACCGUUUUCAGGAGGAAACCAGCCAGUGCUGCUUGACACGUUAUGGGAGUGUGACUUAGUGAAGGAGGUAUGGAGAUAGAUCCUUAAAGUGUUCAAGGACUUACAGCCAAUAUGGAGGUAUGCAGUGGAAAUGUUCUUCAUUGGUUUGAAGAGUCAAGGGGCUCAGCAACAGGAUUGGCUUGGUGAAGAGUGCGGUGUCGGGGACAACAUGGAUGGGGUAUCCACAUACAAUGGGAUCUGGUGGGAGCGGAGCAGGGGGUUUUAGGCCAUGACCGUUGGGCAAUAUGGAGGGCCACAGGAGUUGAAGAGAUCUGGGAAGCACGGAACAGUCUCUGCUUUGAUGGUUAGCAAGCACGAGUGUCGGCUGUAGUAACAAACUGGUGGGCAGCACUGAAGGAUAGAAAGACACCAGUAGGGAUGAACCACUGGAGAAGCAUAUGGCUUGUUUUGGGGUGGACUCUAGGGGGGAGAUACACUGGAGGUGGAGACCCCCAGGGGACAAAAUGCCCCCUAAUUGCUCUAAUGAUAAUCCCUUGUCCUGGUUGCAUGGAAAUGUACAGUUACAUUUAUCUACCCAGGAUCCCAAGUCUGGAAUUAAGAGUUGUCAUGACUCCUUAUCAAGAUCAAUAUCUCAUUCCUCCACCAUCCCCAAAAGAAUUGAUAUUAAACAAGGUUAGGCUUUCCUAAAGUCUAUAAAAUAUUCUUAAAAUAUUUCUAUAGCCCGCAACAUUGAUAAAUUUAGAAAUUCAGCAUAUUUCUAGGACUAAUAAUAAUAUUUUUAUUCUCUACACGGAUAUUCGAAAUAGAAUCUCUGAAAGUGAAAAUACAACUUUCACCUUCAUACCAUUUUGGUUCAUUCCUACAAGACGAAAACUACUACAGCACUUUAGAUUCUCAGUCCAAAAAACGAUUUCAUAGCUAGACUUAUCAAACAGAUCCAUUUUCUCCCCCUAUGGACCAAUACCGAGCCAGCUCGUCACCACCACGAUCAAAACUCCCCUCCCCAAGCAAAACAAGACCGUGAUUGUCGCCACGCAUGGAACUGACACCCAUCCCAGAACAAAUCCGAAGGCCCCAAGUUAAAUGGCCCUGGAGUGAAGCUCUUGGCGCGGAAAAAUAUCGGGAGUGUGUGUGCAAUGUAGAGGCCGAUAGAUACCAUAGCUUGAAAGGCAACGCUGCUUCCCAAGUACUGGAGAAAUACCAAAAACCACGGUGGUGAGUCAAGCAACGAGAAAUAAUAGAGGAUGAGUAGCAACUCAAAAGGUAUAAAGUUCUUCCAUGUUUGGAUCUCUUUUUUCCAAUCAUUUUCAAGGAUGGCCUAUGCUCUCAAGGGAUGCUUCUGGCACACUCGCGGUGUGUGCGUUUUGCAUGGCUCUUCCGGUAAGUAUCCCACAGAAAAAAAAUGGGCACGGCAGGCAAACUAUGCUUCCGGUUCCAGUGCCGUAUUUAUCCUUGAAAAUGGUGUAAAAGAGUUGGGCUACGGCAUAACCUUUGGCGUCGUUGUUUGGAUCAAGCAAGAACCCGAUGUCGCUGAUCGCCAAAGUGAUUCCGAGAAUGUAACCAUCCAACGAUGACGGAUAUAACAACGGCACUUAUAAUUCCAAAUGCACCGUUUUUGUCUGCUGAUCUGGUCUCCUCGGACUGCAUGAGACGAUGGUGAGGACAAAUACAAACCAGAAAGCCACCAUAUGAGCAGAGGCAUCGUAUCCAAUAAGUGUGUAUUGGCUCAUCAAAAUUCCAAGAAGAAAAAUAUACGGAUAGCUGUGAAUACCUUCGUUGUUCACUGUGUUGAAAUACUUGAAAACAGCCAAUCAAGUUCCACAAAGGUACCGAAAAAAGAGAGGAUAUGAAUUGGCAGGCUAUUUACUAGCCCGUGAAGAAACAAAAGGUCUGCAUGGAAUCCUAUUACGCGGCAUAAUAGCCACGACCAUUUGCACCACCAGUGCUCAGUAGUACCAUCACUUGAAGGAGAGUGGCUUGAGAAAGGUCUAUGCUUGUCGUCACAGGCCACUGAAUUUGAAACACUAAAAGAGAAGAAAAGAGCGAGAGCUAGAAAGACACACCUGACCAACAAUGUAAAGAAUGAAUGAGAGAGUAAACGAAAGAGCUUACCAGCCAGUGAUCCAUGCUUGCAAACGGACCCCAGUUCUCGCCAGCUAGAUUGAAGCUCCAGAAUUAGAGUCCUAAGAGUACCACCUAUUAGCGGGAUGGACUCAGGCAGAGCAAAUGACUCCAGCGGUGGGAUGGGAUUCGCGUGCGUCGGUCUGAUCGUAGCCCCACGGACCCAGCACGAGAAAGAGACUCUUUUCGGCUCCUUCUAAGAUAGUUUUCUUAGUCCGUCGACAAUUUUAUAUGCAGCUACGAAAGUAGGAUCAACAGUAGGUCACUGAUUCUCACGUCACCUUGCAUGAGCUGUUACAAUUUGAUUCCUCGGUGAGAAAGAAAAAUCUGCCUGUAGCCUCAAUCACAUGAUACUAAUCAGUCCCACCUUCUUCACGUGUACGCCUCAAGCUGCGUAUAAAUCUGCAACCCCUUGCAGUCGAGGAAAACAUUAGCUUACAACUUGCUUUCCUGCUUUUGUAUACUCUUGCAUCUUGCUCUUCUAGUAUGGCGCUUCUCGGAGGCAUAGCUGGAGCCUUGUUCCAGGAUAAAGGCUCGUCUAAGAUCGUCUAUAAAGGCGCUGUCCUCGUCCGGAAAACUAAUGUCCUCGAUGUCACCAACGUUGGAGCUUCGGUGGUGGACAAUACCGCAGAUCUCCUUGGUCUUGGAGUGACACUGCAAUUGAUCAGUAAGUAUCUGUUUGUCGCUGCCAAGAACAUCCUCACCUUUGAGUAUUGUACAGGUGCCAAGACAGGAAAGAAGAGCAAUCCCGCAAACCUUGAGAAGUGGUUGUUUUCUGGAGGAUUAUUUGCUACGGACGAUGUCAAGUACUCUGUGAAGUUUUCAGUAGAUCCGGAUUUCGGACUGCCUGGAGCAUUUAUCAUCGCAAAUAGUCAUCCAAGUGAAUUUUACCUUGUCUCUUUGACUGUCGAGAUGCCUGGAGGGGGGAAGAUCGUUGAGUUUCCUUGCUAUUCCUGGGUUUACAAUUCGUCCCUCUACAGAACAGAGCGUCUGUUCUUCAGUAACCAGGUAGGCUCUGCGUGGUAAAGAUCUCUGACUGUUGUAUCCUUACGAAUUCUUUCAGCUCUACUUGCCAAACGAGACACCGACGGGCCUGACAAAUGCUCGGGAGAGUGACUUGAAAGCCCUGAAAGGCGAUGGAACGGGAAUUAGACAAAACUGGGAUCGGAUUUACGACUAUGAUGCUUAUAACGAUCUGGGAAAUCCACUCCUCAACCUGCAAAGACCAACUUUGGGCGGAUCGACUGAUCUUCCUUAUCCCCGCAGGUGUCGCACUGGUCGAAUUAACAUCAACGGAGGUCUGAAUAAGAAGAAAAAAAAAGAAUACUGAUUAGUGAUUUUCCUGUGCAACAGUUGAAACUCUCACCUUGACCCCGUUAAACAAAUUCUACAUACCAAGCGACGAAAGAUUUGGCGCCGUGAAGAACAGUGACUUCCUGGCCGACGGUCUCAAGGCACUGAGUCACAGCGUUCUUCCAGCUCUGGAAAGCGUCAUCACGUUUGACCAGACGUUUGAUUCGUUCAAGGAGAUAAAGGACCUGUAUGACCAAGGAUUUGACAUAUCCGAGCUUGUCACCUCACCAGUAAGGGGGAUGCAAACGCCACUCGAGUUCUUCAACGAGUUCACUGCAGACACCGGCAACACCAGCUACAUGAAGUACCCACUUCC
rnacentral:lncRNA from 1 species